UGCUGGAAGCAGUGAGACAUUGAAGCAGU
rnacentral:piRNA from 1 species